rnacentral:rRNA from 1 species
AUUGAACGCUGGCGGCAGGCCUAACACAUGCAAGUCGAGCGAGCGGCGGACGGGUGAGUAAUGUCUGGGCAACUGCCUGAUGGAGGGGGAUAACUACUGUAAACUGUAGCUAAUACCGCAUACCCUCAGAUGUGCCCAGAUGGUAUUAGCUAGUAGGUGGGGUAACGGCUCACCUAGGCGACGAUCCCUAGCUGGUCUGAGAGGGUGACCAGCCACACUGGAACUGGGACACGGACCGGACUACUACGGGAGGCAGCAGUGGUGAAUAGUGAACAAUGGGCGAAAGCCUGAUGCAGCCAUGCGGCGUGUGUGAAGAAGGCCUUCGGGUUGUAAAGCACUUUCAGCGGGGAGGCGUUAACCGCAGAAGAAGCACCGGCUAACUCCGUGCCAGCAGCCGCGGUAAUAC